rnacentral:rRNA from 1 species
AGUGAACGCUGGCGGUAGGCCUAACACAUGCAAGUCGAACGGCAGCACAGUAAGAGCUUGCUCUUACGGGUGGCGAGUGGCGGACGGGUGAGGAAUACAUCGGAAUCUACUUUUUAGUGGGGGAUAACGUAGGGAAACUUACGCUAAUACCGCAAACGACCUACGGGUGAAAGCAGGGGAUCUUCGGACCUUGCGCGAUUGAAUGAGCCGAUGUCGGAUUAGCUAGUUGGCGGGGUAAAGGCCCACCAAGGCGACGAUCCGUAGCUGGUCUGAGAGGAUGACCAGCCACACUGGAACUGAGACACGGUCCAGACUCCUACGGGAGGCAGCAGUGGGGAAUAUUGGACAAUGGGCGCAAGCCUGAUCCAGCCAUACCGCGUGGGUGAAGAAGGCCUUCGGGUUGUAAAGCCCUUUUGUUGGGAAAGAAAAGCAGCAGGUUAAUACCCCGCUGUUCUGACGGUACCCAAAGAAUAAGCACCGGCUAACUUCGUG